UACGUAGGGGGCUAGCGUUGUCCGGAAUCAUUGGGCGUAAAGCGCGUGUAGGCGGUCCGGUAAGUCCGCUGUGAAAGUCGGGGGCUCAACCCUCGGAUGCCGAUCGAUACUGUCGGGCUAGAGUCCGGAAGAGGCGAGUGGAAUUCCUGGUGUAGCGGUGAAAUGCGCAGAUAUCAGGAGGAACACCAAUGGCGAAGGCGGCUCACUGGCUCGACACUGACGCUGAGGUGCGAAAGCGUGGGGAGCAAACAGG
rnacentral:rRNA from 1 species